rnacentral:lncRNA from 1 species
GAACAGCCUGGUCUUUGAAGCACUAAGCUGUACAGCCACAUUCCGCUGAGGAGCUAGAGGGCAGCCAGGUGUUACAGCAUCGUUGCCCACCCUGCUCUGAGCUGUAUAGCUGGGGACCCGUGACUGUUGCAUCCAGCUAACCAUGGAACAGUUUGGCUCCAGCCACCAGCCCCUUAGGUGAGGACUCAGUCAAGGGCCCACUGCCCAUUCCACAUCAUGGAGGCCGAGAGGACUCUUCCAGCCAGGGGAGCCGCCCUUUGAAAACGGUGGUCCAGUCCUGCUGGUUCUCCCUACCAGCCACCUUCAAGAGAGGCCCCUAUUCCUGCUGGCCCACGGAUGGGGAGGUGGGCCCUGGACGUCGCCUUUGUGUGGAAGGCAGCGCUGACCCUGGGCCUGGUUCUUCUAUAUUACUGCUUCUCCAUAGGCAUCACGUUCUACAACAAAUGGCUCACAAAGAGCUUCCACUUUCCCCUCUUCAUGACCAUGCUGCACCUGGCCGUGAUCUUCCUCUUCUCCGCCCUGUCCAGGGCACUGGUCCAGUGCUCCAGUCACAGGGCCCGGGUGGUGCUCAGCUGGACUGACUACCUCAGAAGAGUGGCCCCCACAGCACUGGCAACAGCACUUGACGUGGGCCUGUCCAACUGGAGCUUCCUCUACAUCACUGUGUCUCUGUACACAAUGACCAAAUCCUCUGCUGUGCUCUUUAUCCUGAUCUUCUCUCUGAUC